rnacentral:rRNA from 1 species
UAGAGUUUGAUCCUGGCUCACAUUGAACGCUGGCGGCAUGCCUAACACAUGCAAGUCGAACGGCAGCACAGGUAGCAACACCGGGUGGCGAGUGGCGGANNNNNNAGGAAUACAUCGGGACCUGCCCAGACGUGGGGGAUAACGUAGGGAAACUUACGCUAAUACCGCAUACGUCCUACGGGAGAAAGCGGGGGAUCUUCGGACCUCGCGCGGUUGGAUGGACCGAUGUUCGAUUAGCUAGUUGGUGAGGUAAUGGCUCACCAAGGCGACGAUCGAUAGCUGGUCUGAGAGGAUGAUCAGCCACACUGGGACUGAGACACGGCCCAGACUCCUACGGGAGGCAGCAGUGGGGAAUAUUGGACAAUGGGCGCAAGCCUGAUCCAGCAAUGCCGCGUGUGUGAAGAAGGCCUUCGGGUUGUAAAGCACUUUUAUCAGGAGCGAAAUACUACGGGUUAAUACCUCGUGGGGCUGACGGUACCUGAGGAAUAAGCACCGGCUAACUUCGUGCCAGCAGCCGCGGUAAUACGAAGGGUGCAAGCGUUAAUCGGAAUUACUGGGCGUAAAGCGUGCGUAGGCGGUUUUUUAAGUCUGCUGUGAAAUCCCCGGGCUCAACCUGG